GGGGAUCUAGCUCAUCGGUAGAGCGCUCCCUUAGCAUUACACAAGCAACUUGCUUACGUAAUCGCAUGGGAGAGGUGCCGGGUUCGACUCCCUGGUUCUCCA